GAGCAGCGGACAACACUUCCUCCUCAGCGGCACACAGGAAAUGAUUCAACGGCCUGCACAUCCACUUAAUUCAGACAUUGGAUGCUAAAACAGACUCAGCCUGGCCGUAGUGUUAAGGUGACUGGAUUUAGGCUCCCACUAGGUGGCAGGCAUGGCUAAGCAAUGUGCGUCUUGACUCGAAGAAGCCUCAUAAAGCAUGUGCUGAUAAGAAAGUGAAGUUAUUGGGAGUUUCAGAAGUUAUUUGGAGUCCCUUUACUUUGUCUCCACAUCCAAAGUCUUCCUGUAUUUUAAGCAAGUCUAUGUACGAAAUUUGGCAGAAGAUGAAAGAUAUUGGUCAAGACAAGGAAGCGAAAUCUGAAACCGAUGCUGUUUAAGGAUGUGUUGUUACCAUGUUUAUUAAAUAUUUUAUUGAUAACAGUCCAGAAGGCA